UAGCGGUUCGUCCUUUUCAUUUUGGAGAAACGCGAUAUUCGUCGACAAAAAGCGGUUUGGAUUGAAAGCUGAUAGGGAAAUAUUUUCCACGUGCCCUCAACGAUCGCGCAGGGGAACUAUUUUAGCGUGCGGCGCUGUUUCUGCUGAUUGUCCAAGAAGUUUACAUCGCAUAGAAAGCGGACAUCUAAAUACUGAAAAUUACUUAGCAGUCAUGGACUCGGUUAUUUCCCCCGGAAGAACCAUUUUUGCCUCAAAUAACUCGGCGCACCGAUCUAUGGUGGCUACCCAGUUUUUCUCUUCUCGAAAGGGCGUCUUCUAUUCUUUGGCCUCCUAAGAGUCUUGACAUAAUGCCCAUGACGUCAAUUUGGAAUAAGUUUGUUAGGAAUUUGAAUCAUUCGACAAGUAUUGUUUCAAAUACUGUUCAACUUUGGGGGGAUAUGGAGGAUGUUUGGGCUGAUUUUAUUUUCAAUCAUGAUUUCAUUGAUCCUAAAACUGUUGGUUACGUCUGGGUAGACCUUGGACGAAUAGUCGAUGAUAUUGGCUAAUACAAUAAAAUUUCUUUUUAGAUAUA